ACUACGUCACACCAGCAACUGAUAGGAAACACUCCCUGCAGCUGCCCCAGCAGCUCCACCCCAUGAGCACAUGCAGACCAGCUUACCCCAAGCUCAACGGAACAGCAAAGAGCCCCAAGCAUCCUAAAGCCUCGCCAAGGGGACCUGGCAGGAUUUCAGACAGAUGUGCAUACCCUAAGCUGCAGGUGGAAGCAAACAGCAGGCUGACCAGCCCAUUAUCAUCAGCCAGGGCUCCCACUUCCCAUCCUGCUUCCAAGGAUGGGAGCAAGCAUCGUAAGCAGGACAAUUCCUGCUGAAGGCUGUGUCCUCCCUGGUGGAAGGAACAGGAAUGAGCAGGAGCAGAAGCAGCAUGAGGUGAAUCAGGAGACAGACAGAGCUGAGAGGAACCCAGAUGUAAUUAAGACAUAGCAUCACGUGCAGCUUUCAAGAAGGGGAGGAAAUGCACUGGCCAUUAUGUAGAGACUACAGAAACGAAGGAAGAGUCACGCUAAUGAAGACAGGAAGGAUGAUGAACUCAGAUUCACAGAGAUGAGAAAGUGAAUAAAGGCACCAGACUGAAACACAGCAGCAAUUUUAUUCCAGCAGCAAUUUUCCAAAACCGAAAUUGGAAUUAAAAAGAAGUUUAUUAUGAACAGCCAGCAACAUCCACAGCCCAGCAGCAUGCACAUGGAGAACAGAGGAUCAGUCAUCAGUGAGGUCAGGAGAUGAAAUGGGUGCUGGAGCCCAAAAGAGGCCCCAGCAAGAAAGAGCAGAAAUCUGGAAGCCCAGGCCAGCAAACUGAUGGAGCUGGCAAUUCUGCAGGCACCGAGGUCCUGAUCUUGCUCCCAGCAAAGUCAAAGGCAAAAUUCCCAUUGUAUGACAGAUUGCAACUAAUUUCCUGCAAGCUCGGUGGAGUUACUCAAGCCAGCUUCCAAAAACAAGUCAAUGUAUUUUAGAACAACAGCCGGAGGCUUGCUGUAUUAUAACAUGACCCCUGAGGGGGUACAGAUUGCUGCGAGGUGAGUCCUCAUAGCUAUUGUUUUAGGCUGCUGAGUCAGGAAGACAGGGCCACCUUGUUCCACAUCUGAAAGGGCUUUUUUAUUUAUUUUGGGACCACACAGGCUAGAAAUGCUUUGAGAUUGUUAUUUGUCAGUGGGAAGGGGACGAGGGUGUUUUGUUUUUUUUCUCUCCUUCAACACAAAUAGUGAGGAAACUCAGGGUUUACAAAAAAUGGCUACCCAAUAUGGUAGGACAGUGGGAGGCUGGAGGGAUGCUGGAAAUGACCAGAGGACCAACAUGGCACCAACACGGCAAAUGCAGCUCAUUGAGCAUCCCCAGGGCAGCCAAGCAGUAUGAGAAGGUGGGGUCCAAAUGUGAGGUGCUGCACAGGAAGAUGCUAGGGGAGGCCAAUCCCAAAGAGGAAGCUGUGAAUGCAGCUGGCAUCAUGCAGUUCCUACAAGCCAUUAUUAAAUGCCAAAGAGAGAGGGAGUCAAGCAGGCUGCUGAUUAAGUGUUCCCCUCCUUGACUGAGGAUGGGAGAGGGUGUCAAGUGAUGCACCCUGAUGCACUCCUGUGGAUUUAUGUGCAAUGUAGCAGAGCUUAAAAUAAAACCAGAGGCUUUGGCAGGUUAUUUCCAAUUACUGUGAGGGUCUAGAAAGCCAGUUGGCAUUGAGGCUGAAGCUACCAUGCACUGCUGGCAUGGCUGCUUCUCCAAGCACACCAACAAUUGCUAUUGAAGAGCGGCUGGUCAACAGUAUCCUGGCACGGCUGCGCCUGUUGCCUCCUGGGCUGGUGCUCUGUAUGUUUGUCCAGACCUGAAUUAACCCACACUUAAAUGAGUGCAGAAAUGAAAAGAGCCUAUCGCUUUCCUAUCAGCAAUUCAUGGAACAUUAAAGUCUGAAUUGGCAAAAGUCCCACUUCACAGAGAGUGAGAUCAGGCGCUCGCGCGGCGCUUCACAUACAAUUACUUUUAACUCGGCUCAGUUACCAGUGAACUAUAAUAUCUGCGAGAAUUUUUAAAUGGAUCAUUUUGUCAGUUUUUCUCCUUACGCUUGCUCUGCCUUAGACACUUGUCACCAAUUUUAUUUAAUUAGCACCACAAUUGUAUUAACACCACAUUUUUUUUAAUUUAAUUAUGCUUCUGCAGUACCCCAGCUUGUUUUGUGCAAUUAGCGCUCUACUUUCAUACAAAUUAAUCUCCCUGGAGAACUGCAUCGAAAAUAGAGAAAAAGAAGAGACCUCAUUUAAUGGAAGUAACAACACCAACUGACUGUAUAUGCAUAUAGCCUUCAUAUGUUGCCAAACACACAAUUUGAGGUUUAUGCCUCAUGCACACAAAACGAUCGAGUGGUUUUCUCAGGAGCGAAUUCCGCUGUCAGUAAUUUUAUUUUGUCUGGUGAUUUCCAUCCUGGGCAUAGAGCAAAGAGUUAAGACCGUGUUCUGCUCUAUCAGCCAAUUUAAUCUAAAGAGGACAGGAGGAAGACUGGUUCAUGUAUCUGGUAAAUAUUUGCUUUAUCAGGGAAUGUAACAGUGCCUCUAAGAGCCCCUUCUCACCUCAUCUGCAGCCACACAUCAUCUGAGGCAGAUUUAGGGUAUUCCAAGCCACUGAAGGUUCAGCCCCUGUGGUUGUCUUUCUGUGCUGUUUGUUUAGUGUUCUGCCAGCCCUCCGUGUAAACAGCGAUGAACCUGAAAACUAACAUCUCCUCUGUUUUGCUCAUACCACAAACUGCAAAGCACAGCUAAUUCCUGUGGCAGAAGGGGAGGCUGGCUGAGCUUUACUCAUUAUCCUUGCAGUGAGUGGGUGCUGUCAGCAGCAAAACAUCAUGAAAAGAUGAAAAGUGAGCAUGGUGGUGUAGUGACCAGCUGAUUAGGAAGCAUCCAGCACUGACAAAAAGUUACUCAGGAGUCCUAUCAGAAAUCAGAGAAAUUAGACCUUUGGCAGACACUUGAGAUCAUCACCUAUGUGAGGACUUAGUGCAUUUUUGCAUGUUUCUACCUAAUCAGUUUCACAGGAGCUGAUGUCCCUGCUAUUGUCCACCUAACAUGUUGACCAUGGCAGCAGACCGCUCCAUCCUCUUUGAAUCUUGCAGCGUGGCAGUCAUGUCAUCUUUGGGUAUCCGUCUCAGAGAUGCUCACUCCUGCAACAACCACAUCAGCCCCAGCUCAUUGCACCAUCAACUGAGAGUCAGCCCAGAAAUCUAAGUGGGCUUGACCAAAAGCUAUGUGGUAAAAAAAAUGCCCAAAGUGUGUUCGCUAGUCCUCACUUCAGGCCUAAAGCUGCUCUGUGUUUCUGGCAGAGGUCAACAGCUAAGGACACCCAACUGUGAGAAACUUUUGCAAAAUAAUCACCCAUGUCACAGAGAAACUGGAAGUAAUGUCAGGAGGAAGAUGUUGGGCAGUUCAGAUAUUACUCCAAAUCCUCCUUGUCCUUCAGAAUAGCACUGAUUUUGCACAAAGACAGUCCACAACAGAUACAUUUGAUCAGAAGUAUUAAAAAAUAUAUCACUUUUCAUAUUGUUAUGGCUUCCCCUGCUUGCUCAAACUGCAAUGGAGAACGUAUAAUGUUUAGAAGAAAAACACAAAUGGAAAGCUACUUAAAGAGUGGGGAAGCAAAAAUCAGCCGCACAAAAUUGACAACAGAUCAAAGACCAUAUCAGUGAUUAACAGAAGUACAUCAGGGUUCUUUGGUUUUUCAAAGCUUAUUUGGAGCCAGCUGAAAGUGAAAUAUGUUGUGCUACAACCGUCCGGUGCACUUCAGUGUAAAAGUAAGUCUUGCUUAAUAUAUAUCAGCAAACUACAGACCUGGCAUUCUUUUUCACAACUGACUUUUUGAAACUGUACCCUUUAGCCAAUGAAAUGGCUGAGCAUCUGACAACCUUGCCCUAGCCAAGCCGAGUUAACUGUCAAACAAAUAAAAGCCCAGGACUUGUCUUGACAUUUCUGUAGUCUGGGAUAUUUGAACAUAGAAACAGAAUGAAAUUUGGCUUUAUCCCAUCAUCAUCAAACAGUAGUUUGUUGCUUUGGCAUCUCCUGAUUAUAGGUAUAUAACAGGAGAAAAUUUGGUAUCCUUUAGUUGACUUGGUGACAGAGGAGCUUAAAAAGAUUGAGGGAUUUGGAUAACUGUGGAGAAGUACAAAAAAGAAGUUCAGAAGGAGGUGCCAUCCCUACCAUCCCAUAUGGUCGCUGGAGGACCCAGAGGCUGAGAAGAAUAAUGAGCUGCAGACCUCUUAAAAGCUUGUUUUCUGUACAUGAUCGUGUGUCCAGUGACAUCACUGGUAGAUUAGAGCCAGCAUUUCCAGGACAACCUGGCGCCUUCAGAGGUCCAUGGGGCAGCAACUCCAUUCACUUUACUUUGUCCCCGAAGGGGCAGAACUUACAGGGAGGGCUGUGGCCAGCAUUGUGGAGGGAACAUUUCAUCCCCUUUCUCCCCUGCACUAGUGGCCCAGUAUCACACCAGGUAAGCUGUCAGUGUGUGUCCUGUGCCAGUGCCUGGCUAUUCCAGUCCCUUCUUCUACCCCCAAGCAGGUGUUUGCUUUUCUGAUUGCUCAAAGGCAAAACACUGGGAAUCUUCCAGCCAAAAACCCCGUGAAACAGACACUUCUGCCAGCUUUGCACAACUCCACACAUUUCUGUGAUACCUCCAGCUAACGGGUUUCUUGUUAGCACAUUAAAGUACGGCUGGCUAAAAGCCUCUUGUUAGCGCUUGCUGCACGGAGCAGUUGAUCACUUCAGCAGCAGCAGCCCAAGUUGCUUUAGAGAUUAAUGGCACAGCCACUCGGCUUUGUCCUUUCUAUUUGUUAACUAGUUCGUUCUGCAAAUAAUAAAUACGAAAAGGGGGAAAAAAAAAAAAAAAAA